ensembl:lncRNA
AUGGCCGGCAAAGACGCGCUGAAGGCGGAUGAAGGUCUGCUGAUGAUGCAGGAGCUGGAGGACAGACUCAAGGAGCACACGGAUAAACUGGAGCAUGUGCGUCUGGCCGCCGUGGACCUGAGAGACGCUCUGUCAGGGAAUAAUGACGAUAUGCAGCAGUGCGUCUCUGAACACAUGGAGUGGCUCGCACAGCUGAGCGAUCGCGCGGAGACCCUGCAGAUGAACACCGCCGUCUUCGUGCAGAUGAAUGCCAAACCACGCAGCUUUCGGGUCAAACAGCAGGGGCUCAGAAGCGCUGGCCGCUGGGGUCACUGUCAUGUGACCGAUGAUGCCCAAUCAGAGUACGGCUGGUCUCCCGUCCGCACCAGACGCAACAGUGAUGCAGCGUCUGAGAUGUCGUGUGCAUGGUAGAAACACUCCACAACACUCACAUCAUGAGCAGCAUUACUGUUCCUCGUCCAAAACUGACCACUGUAACGGCAGCCUACUGUUUGAGUAUGUCAUAUAGUUUAAAGUGUAAUAAAAAGUGUUUGUGUCUUUUGAAUGUCUCA